AUCCAGCUGACGAGUCCCAUUUAAGACGAAACGCGCGUUCUGGAU
rnacentral:hammerhead_ribozyme from 1 species